rnacentral:rRNA from 1 species
UUGCAUCGAUGAAGAACGCAGCGAAAUGCGAUACGUAAUGUGAAUUGCAGAAUUCAGUGAAUCAUCGAAUCUUUGAACGCACCUUGCACUCUUUGGUAUUCCGAAGAGUAUGUCUGUUUGAGUGUCAUGAAACUCUCAACCCCCUCAUUUUGUAAUGAAAUGUAGCGUGGGCUUGGUUUAUGGCUGUCUGUCGGCGUAAACGCCGGCUCAGCUGAAAUAUACGAGCAACCCAGUUUAAAUACCUGACGGCUUGACUCGGCGUAAUAACUAUUUCGCUGAGGACGUCUAACCUUUAAAUCGUUAGUGGUGCUUCUAAUGCAUUAAUCAUUUUAAGCUUUAGACCUCAAAUCAGUCAGGACUACCCGCUGAACUUAAGCAUAUCAAUAAGCGGAGGAG